UACGUAGGUGGCAAGCGUUGUCCGGAUUUACUGGGCGUAAAGAGCGCGCAGGCGGUCGUUCAAGUCGAGUGUGAAAGCCCCCGGCUCAACUGGGGAGGGUCACUCGAUACUGAUCGACUCGAAGGCAGGAGAGGGUAGUGGAAUUCCCGGUGUAGUGGUGAAAUGCGUAGAGAUCCGGAGGAACACCAGAGGCGAAGGCGGCCUACUGGGCUGCACCUGACGCUGAGCCGCGAAAGCCAGGGGAGCGAACGGG
rnacentral:rRNA from 1 species